rnacentral:lncRNA from 1 species
UAUAAUAAAAAUAUUCAAUAAAAUAAACUAUUUUCUUGUAAAAUAAUUUUCAUAAAACUAUCGGUACAUGAUUCUUAUAGCGUAAAAGAUAAUUAUAUUCAUAUAUACUAUAAAGCAAAUAACCAAAGCAUAAAAUUUAUUUUACAGUGACACGUGGGCCCACAUCUAUCCAAAAUGCAUCGAAAGCUAGAAACCUACAGCUUUUACCGAUUCGAGUCCAAAUGAAGGUCCUUGUCAAAGUCAGCUAACUAUGGAAUUCCCCGAGCCUGAAAUGCGAGGAAAUGAGGGUGGUGAGAUUAUAAAAUCUCAGUGAGUAAACAGAUACCAUCUAAAGUAUCUAAAGCCGAGUAAAUGGAGACAAUUAAAAUAAGUCAUCAUACUGUAAUUUCAUUACCUUUCAAUUCAUUUCAACCAAAUAAAAUCAAUCCAUAUAAAUCGAGUAAUCAACUUCGCUUAUGAAUUUCUUAAAACUUUGGCUCGUGCCAAAACUCAUACUCGGUGAUACCUUGCGCAGGGCAUCCAAUUGAGUCCGCCAAGGUUGUUAAAAUUUUGUAUACACUUAAAAUAUAUUUUUAGUGUGAGAAAAAUACAGUCGUUCCUUAGCGUUGGCUGAGUUCCCCUUCACGUGGUGGUUUGGCGUGAAGUGAACCCUAAGCUUUACCCCAGGAGAUACCCUAUGCGCCUCUCCGUUCGAGGUAAUAAUAUAAUUGAGUUUACCGUGCCCCUCUAAUAGGCUGAUCCACGGAACCCCCUCUACAGUAAAUAAUUAAUAUAUAAUCCACCAAUCAAUAAAAUUCGUUCUAGCAUGACAUGGCAAUUUAUCGCAACCUAACCUCUCAAGGCUGAAUACACAGUAUAAAUAAUUCUAACACCAAAAUCAGUUUAGCCAUUCAUGCUCAUUUAUUGUCAUAAGCCAUUUAAUUCAAAACCAUAAAUUUGCAACACAAACUAGCAGUCUCCAAUUACUCUAUUUUCAAAACCAAUAUUCGAUUUUUCAGAAAAUUUAUAAAAUCAUUUUAUAAAAUCACAAUUUCUCUUAAAACAUAGCAAUUUACCAUUUAAACCCAUUUUUCAUAAAAUCACACAAUUGUAUAAAACUACUCUAGAUAAUUAAGACGAUAAUAAGUUUACUCACAGUUUUAGGAGUAGAAAUACUCCUAUCUUCCGCCCUCGGGUGCAGUCUCUUACCCGAAACAAUUGACUCACCACCU